GAUGAACGCUGGCGGCGUGCCUAAUACAUGCCAGUCGAGCGAACGGACGAGAAGCUUGCUUUUCUGAUGUUAGCGGCGGACGGGUGAGUAACACGUGGAUAACCUACCUAUAAGACUGGGAUAACUUCGGGAAACCGGAGCUAAUACCGGAUAAUAUUUUGAACCGCAUGGUUCAAAAGUGAAAGACGGUCUUGCUGUCACUUAUAGAUGGAUCCGCGCUGCAUUAGCUAGUUGGUAAGGUAACGGCUUACCAAGGCAACGAUGCAUAGCCGACCUGAGAGGGUGAUCGGCCACACUGGAACUGAGACACGGUCCAGACUCCUACGGGAGGCAGCAGUAGGGAAUCUUCCGCAAUGGGCGAAAGCCUGACGGAGCAACGCCGCGUGAGUGAUGAAGGUCUUCGGAUCGUAAAACUCUGUUAUUAGGGAAGAACAUAUGUGUAAGUAACUGUGCACAUCUUGACGGUACCUAAUCAGAAAGCCACGGCUAACUACGCG
rnacentral:rRNA from 1 species